rnacentral:lncRNA from 1 species
AUGCCAAUUUCAGAUAAAACUAGUCAUGUCAUUUGUUUUUCUUUUGUUUGUUUGUUUCCAGGCAGUCACCUCUACUACAUGGAAUUGGGGAAUGAUACAGAAAUUUCAGAGUUUCUUCUUCUGGGAUUCUCGCAGGAACCAGAACAGCAGCCCCUCAUAUUUGGACUUUUCCUCUCCAUGUACCUGAUCACCGUGUUUGGUAACCUGCUCAUCAUCCUGGCAGUCAUCUCAGAUGCCCACCUACACACCCCCAUGUACUUUUUUCUCACCAAUCUGUCCUUCGUAGACAUCUGUUUCACUUCUACCACUAUCCCAAAGAUGUUGAGGAAUGUCCAGACCCAGAGCAAAGUUAUAACCUAUGAAGCCUGCAUCACACAAAUUUAUUUUUUCCUACUGUCUGCAGUAUUGGACAUCUUCCUCCUCACAGUGAUGGCCUAUGACCGCUUUGUGGCCAUCUGUCACCCCCUGCACUACAUGGUCAUUAUGAACCCUAGGCUCUGCUUUCUGCUGGUUCUGGUGUCCUGGACCAUCAGUGUCCUGAAUUCCUUGUUACAAAGUUUAAUUUUGUUACAGCUUUCGUUUUGCACUGUUGUGGAAAUCCCUAACUUUUUUUGUGACCUCAGUCAGAUAACCCAACUUGCCUGUUCUGACACCUUUCUUAAUAAUAUGGUAAUGUAUCUUACAGUUGUGCUUCUGGGUGGUGGUCCCCUGGCUGGUAUCCUUUAUUCUUACUCAAAAAUAGUUUCCUGUAUAUGCAGAAUCUCAUCAGUUCAGGGAAAGUAUAAAGCAUUUUCCACCUGCGCAUCUCACCUCUCAGUUGUCUCCUUAUUCUUUUGUACGAGCCUAGGAGUGUACCUUAGCUCUGCUGCUGCCCACAGCUCACACUCGAGUGCAACAGCCUCGGUGAUGUACACUGUGGUCACACCCAUGCUGAACCCCUUCAUCUACAGUCUGAGGAACAAAGACUUAAAGGGGGCUCUGAAAAGAUUCUUUGUGAUGGCAAGUCUAAAAAGGUUAAUUAUUCUGGAUUUGGAGAAGUGCCCAAGAUUUCAGAUCUCAAAGUCUCAGAGUCAGUAG